UCAAAACCAACAAUCGACUAUUAUUUUCACGCACUCAGUACGAUGACGAUGAAAUUCUAAGUAAGCUGAAAUCAUGCGUUUCUUGUGAGGAGUCUCAUCCACUAAAGACUGACUGUUGUUGUAAGCGCACGCAUUGGAACAUUCGCUUCCGUUUGCAUCUGUAGCUCACUAUCCAAAACGUACGUAUUGGCUGCACGCAUAUGCUAACAAUAGCAUUAAAGAGAAUUUGCGUUACGUCUUAAGAGACAAAGUGUCGCAAUAUGCUCAACCUAAACAUAGGAUAGUGCUCUAUUUUUUGUCCGUGUAUUUUCAUGCAAAUGUGUCUGAUAGCAACACCGGACGUAAAAGUCGUAACAUUUUCUUUAAUUGUAUGUAUAAAAAACUUUAUCUUUUUCAAUACCCUAAACGAAAUAUAAAUUAAAUUUCGAGCACCGAAAGCAUUCGGCCAAUUUAAUAUAUGAAGGAUACGUUCUAUCGAAUGGGUAUCUGAAUACUCUGUUCCGGCUAGCUACACCAUAGGAAUUACUGAUUCGUCCGAUGGGAGCGAUUUACUUUAUUAACAAACCGCUAACCUUUCGUUCUUGUUUACGCAUCGCCGAUGCGCGGUUAAUGAGCUAACUUGACAACGCUUUUACGUUAACGAAAAUAUGGCUAACGUUAGAAUAAUAUAUGUAGUGUAAAGGCAGAGCAAAGAGUGCAAAAAAAUAGGACCCGACGAAAAGUUGCACGCAUCAACAAUAGCAUCUGGUGUAUAGGAAAGAUAAAACAAAGUAGGAUAAUUGCAGGCUGUUUUCUUCCGACGAAAACACCGUGCAUCGUCGGUGAUUCCCUAUUCUCUUAUGAGACGUUAUCUAUUUGCGUUCCGACUAAGUCAACGGAGCAUCCAGAGGCUUGAUAGCGCAUUGCAGUUCGUAAACGAUUAAAAAAAUAUGUACAGUUGUUCCUAUGGAAAUGUUUAAUAAGGAUCAUUUUAAAAACGCUACCUUAAAAGGUGCCCGUUAUCCGAUCAUUCUCCUCAAACUCCCCCUAGAGCAGGUGAUAGCAUGACCGAUACAUGGUUGACUCCUUGUCUAUGUACAUCUAUUACAUAUGAGUCAUAUUAGUUUCCAGCAAGCGCUGCAUAUAAUAAUGGCAGCAAAUGCAUACUGAUAUGCUAUAGCUUGCUUUGUAUGAUUAUCGUAUUUGGAAAAACUAACGAAAAAUGAACCUAUUCAGUGUGGCACUCACAAUGAGUCAGUCGUGACUAGUCGCGGUAAAUUAUAUAAAAAUAAGUCGUUGUCCAGAGGACGUAAAACAUAACGUCUAUAUAGAGAAACAGUUGUAUAACCCCUACAACUGCGUCAAAGGCCGCAGUUCGUCCUUUCUUUGCGAUUACAUAAAAUUCUCGCGCCUAACAUACAGAAACGCUAAGGUCUAGCCUCAUCUACCAUGGACGUAUCAUUUUUCGAUAUAGGGGAACAAUUGAAAGUCACGAGACGUAACUGUCGCUCAAAACAAAACAUCAUUGAGAAAUGUCAGUUACACAGUUCGGCUUACCGGUACUUCUUUUAACAUAAAUAUAUAUACAGUGCACCAAAACAAAUAAACCAUAUGCCAAAAAUAAUAUGCCUUAUUAUCUUGUGGAUUUUUUACCAAAAAAAAAACACUUUAUCAGUUCAUUCGAGCCAAUCGGUAAAAUCGCCGAGGGAUUUCACCACAAGAGUGACAAAAGCAGACCAAUUAUCUGUGCUGUACUAUAUAUAAUAUAUAGAACGCAUUAUAAAUUAGUUCUAUCGUUAGCUUUUAGCUAUAUACAAUACAUGUGAUGCAUAGAAUUCCUGAACUGAUGUAAAAUAUCGGAUAAAUUAAUAUUCCGAUGCCCGAAGAACGGAGCCGACUCGCUCUAAUAACUUUUAGGCCUCCGAAUGCACUUUUCCGUUCCCGGCCGGUUACUGCCGCGUACCCUGAUGAGCAUGAUGUCAUCCUGUGCGUAAAGAACACAUGGUGUCAAGGAAGCACCGUAUCAGGUAUCGCGACGGUGGGUGUAUUUGAGAUCCAACCCCCUAAAGGCCGCCUCCUUUAACCUAGUUGACUCGAGUGCUAAAACAAAGAGUGUUUUCUCUGAGCUAUGAGGUAGCUGUCGUUUUGGCUCCGCCCCUGGACCCGCCCAAGGUGUAGGCUCGCGCAUGCGCUAUUCCGAGUCUCUGUGAGGUUGAGGCCUACCUUGCGAUCCUUGCCACCGCGAUGAGGGUAGGAUCCCUCGUUGCCUCUCUUACAUCUCAGUACAUCCUCGUGCUUACCCAGUGACCAACUUGUGCAGAACAGGACACGUUUCAGUGAGAAGCUGUUAGAGAGUGGGCUAGAUUGUAAUACUGCGUAGCAGAACGGCCAAAAGUGACCGCUUUAAUUUGCCGGUCGUAACCUAUUAUUUAGUGCAGUGACAGACACGUGGAGUGAGUGCGCGUUUACCGGAGCAUCUUUCAAAGUGUAUAGUAUCUAGUAGAGAAAAGUUGCACCAACCAGCUCAUGAGACCGCGAGUCUUUGACAGAAAAUAUAAGAAAUUGACGCUUGAUCGAAAUUAAAAAAUGAUGAUGAGCUUUGAGGGUCGUGUACCUGGUGUUCCAGAGGAUGGCGGACAAUGCCAAGGAGCGGGAAUCAUGCUGCCGUUUAAUCCAUCGUUUGACUAUCGAUCAAUUUCAAGUCAGCUCUUCCAGCCAGUGAAAGAUGAAAGCCCUCUCAUCGCAGGCGAAACACAGGAUGCAGCCUGUCAAGAUGAUAACCAUGUUAAGAGGCCAAUGAAUGCGUUUAUGGUAUGGUCCCGGGCGCAACGACGUAAAAUUGCGUUAGAGAAUCCAAAGAUGCAUAAUUCGGAGAUUUCCAAAAGACUCGGAACUGAGUGGAAGCGGCUCUCCGAGGCUUCUAAAAGGCCGUUCAUCGAGGAAGCUAAAAGACUUCGAGCACAACAUAUGAGAGAACAUCCCGAUUACAAAUACAAGCCAAGAAGAAAACCAAAACCAACGAUGUCAUCUGCCUCGGCUGAUCGUGUGCCCGCCAUGGUCAAGAAGGAAGUUUCGCAACUUAUGCCUCCUUUCUACGAAUACCUAUGUCUACGCGAUGAGGAUAAAAGGCUAGCACCUACAUCCACUCUUCCACCUUUUCUUGGCCGAUUAUGUGCCCCAAACACCACGACUGACCACAGAGUGCCGUCUCCAAGAGACAAUCGCUCUGAGGCUGACCAAAGCGAUUUUGUCAGCGGCGCUCCUAUGUCGAGUUGUCGAUCAAGUCCUUAUAAUGGCGCUGCACUGUACUCGUCGCCAUGGGGGGUGCAAUCGUUAGGACCACGCUCCCCACACUCACCUAGCCAUUGUAGUUCACCUAUUUGUAAGAGUCAACACCAUCCAAGCGGCAAUCCGUUAUCUGUGAAUCACCAUCAAACAUCCCAGUUACAGCAGCCGCAACAACAACAUCAAACACAGCAGAACGCGCACUCGAAUACAGCAUCAACGGAUCAGAUCGUUGCAGCUCAUCAACUAUUGCAGGGUUUAUAUUCGUCAGCACUACAUCGAGCUGCGCUAGCUGCAGCGUCCGUGGCCUCAACGCCGCUUCCACCUUUGUUGCCAACCCUCAAUGGCCUAAGUGGUCUUGGCAGCUUGAACGGAUUGAACCCCCUGAACGGCCUUGGAGGGCCGCCACUAGGGUUGUCACUUAACCCCCUACUGCUCAAUUUUCACGCUCAACCAUUAAACAGCAUUAGUACUGCAGCCCCAAAUGGAGGAGGAGGCGGCGGAGGAAUGAUAGUCGGAGGUUCCUUGGUAGCAGGAACACUGCCAGGAUGUGCGGAAAUAUUGAAGAACGAAGUGCCGGCAAACAGUUGCCCCACUGGAAACGAAUCACCAUUGCCGAUAGUUCACCGCCCUACGGAUAAUACAGAUGAGGGCAAUAUUGGACAGCCACAACUGUUGAACAAUAACAAUAAUAAUAAUAGCAACAACAACAACAACAACAACAACAAAGACAUCACAGAUAAUAUUGGGGAUGACGACGGGCUACCCUCAACGACUACAGUCGAGUCAAUUUAUCGUAUAGAAAACAAGGACAAUUCGCGCUGCCCGUCUGGAGUUGAAUUUUCACUUUUAUACAGUUAUUCAGUUUUACUGAGUUAAAUGAUUGAGGAAAUGGCAGCAACAAGAAUGUUGAAGAUCGAAUUCAGCCGCUUCGUCGUUAUGUAUCAUGGGCCGGUGCUUAAGCUACUACCGGCGGAAAUAAAAAGCUAUGGCGAGCACUUCAGUUGGGAAAGUUUUCAAGCUCUACUGUGCGCUUUUGUCUGUCCAUCGUUAACUUAAGAAUCAUUUGAAUAUUAUGGAUAACGACUUCAGCAGAAAUCUAAUUAGUGUAAAGUUCGGCCUCUCUUGUUGAUUUUGUGUACUUUGAUUAGGCCGAAAAAGUGCGUCGGUGUAUUUGACAGGAAGCGCACCUGGCAGUCUAAUGCUAAGGACUCGAUAGGAUGGCCGUGAAUCUACUCAUGGUGCACCUAGUCAUUUAGCGUAGACCAA